rfam:TPA: Bos taurus chromosome 11, whole genome shotgun sequence.
UCCCGGUGACUCAGAAGGUAAAGAAUCUGCCUGCAAUGCAGGAAACCCGGGUUCAAUCCCUGGGUCGGGAA